GUUUUGUGACUGCUGCUUUGAACUUACAAUAGUGUCGGGUUCCGGCUGAGGUACGGGUUCUACAACAACGGCCCUGGGUUGUUUGUGUUUCUUCAGGCUGACAAGGAACUGGAGAUCAUCCACCGUUUCAAGUUUCAGCCUCUGCACCGCUGGCUUAACCUAAACACACAAGAGCGACAAUGGUUAGUGACAGAUAGCACACGCCAUCAAUGGAUCCUCUAAAGGAGAAGGGGAGCUACAUGAAUGGUCGUUCGGACGGUCAAUAAGGAAGUCGCUGGCCUUAUGAACGUGAUCCGCUCGAAGCAAGUGUGUGUCCCUUUGUGGAUUUGACUGGAAUGUAGCGUCUAAAAGACCAAAUAGAAAUAAACAGUUCACGAAAGA